UACAGAGGUCUCAAGCGUUGUUCGGAUUCAUUGGGCGUAAAGGGUGCGUAGGCGGCGCGGUAAGUCGGGGUGUGAAAUCUUGGAGCUUAACUCCGAAACUGCAUUCGAUACUGCCGUGCUUGAGGACUGGAGAGGAGACUGGAAUUUACGGUGUAGCGGUGAAAUGCGUAGAUAUCGUAAGGAAGACCAGUGGCGAAGGCGGGUCUCUGGACAGUUCCUGACGCUGAGGCACGAAGGCCAGGG
rnacentral:rRNA from 1 species